UACGGCCAUAUCACUUUGAAACACCGGGCCCCUUAAGAUCACUAAAGUUAAGCAACGUCUUGCCUGGUCAGGAACUAGAUAGGUGACCGCUUGGGAAUAACAGGUGUUGUUA